GCCAUACAUUAUGUAAAAAGACAGGUAUUACGAAAGGGAGUGGAAAAUGAAACCCUCAUCGAUUUAACACCUGUAUAACUGUAAAACACAUUCACAAAAUGUUAUAUCAAGGUGAUAAUUAUCUAAAUUUCUAUUAAUUUAAUCGUUUAAAAGCUCACCUUACAGGCAUGGUGGGGGUGUCAAACGUUUUUUAGAAACCUCUACACACUAGAAUGAGCUCACGAAAAAGAUGCAAAAUCUUGCUUAUUUCGGGUGUGUUUGUUCGAUUUAUGACAAGAUUAUAGAAUGGUAAAAAACUGGAUAUUUUAUAUAUGCAAGAAUAGAAGAAGUGGUGCUUUUCAACGUAAACUUGCCCUAGAUUAGGCUAUCAUCAAACGAUUUAAAAGUGGGAUUGCAACAAGAACAACAACCAAUGCGGUAUCACCGCGGAUUUACGUGCCUUUUACGACCCUCUAAGAACACUUGACUAUCUGUUAAAUGCUGAAUAUGCAAUGGUUAAAAAUAAAUGAACCGUACUUAUGUCUUAAGAGAGAGGAUUUUUAGAGCGUUUACCAGUACGUUACAUAAGUUAUCGGUAUCAUUUUAAAUCCAGUAUACGCGUUUUGUAUGAGUGUAUAUGCAAUUUAUUUAUUUAUUUUUUAAAUUGCUCAAAUUUUCAUGAUUACUACAGUCUAUGAUUUUCUAGCACCUUUUUUUUUCGAACAUAUCAACACUAACAGGUUAACGCACGUUGAUAAACUGGAAGGCUAAAAUGCUUCAAAACUAUUAGUUCGUCAGGAUUUGCUUUAGUUACAAAGCUAUUUGGUCCGCCAACUAAAAUUACUACAAAAUAAAACACAAAGAAUAGAUCAAAAUCAGAUACUUAAAUAGCCUUGAAAUUCAUCGCAUUUUGAAGGUCUAACAAGAAAAGGAAUAGCUCUUGUUAAGAAUUUUAAUUGAAUCAUCGUGCUGUCAGUACGAGUUACGCGCAGGUUCGCACCAAUUAGGCAGUACGUUCAACUACGUAUGAAUAACGUGUCUCUGUUUGCUACAUAAUGUUAGCUACGUUGUUUGCUAUUUGUUUUACGACACAUUGAACUGCGGUGAGUUCCUCUUGCGAUCUACUAAUAUAGCGAUAUGCGGUAUGUUUACCUAACAAUGUUAUAUAUUGUUAUAAAAAGUCUAUUAGUAUGACUCACUGAUAUAGUGAAUAACUAAACUGAUGAACGAGGUUCAGUUGUAGCUCUAUUUAUAAUUCCUCUAUAACGUUGCUUCCAACGGGAAUCUAUGCAGAUAAGACCGAUAUUGUAUUCGCGUUUAUCAAUAAACACGAAUAAAAUGUUCUAACA